rnacentral:rRNA from 1 species
AUUGAACGCUGGCGGCAGGCCUAACACAUGCAAGUCGAACGGUAACAGGAAACAGCUUGCUGUUUCGCUGACGAGUGGCGGACGGGUGAGUAAUGUCUGGGAAACUGCCUGAUGGAGGGGGAUAACUACUGGAAACGGUAGCUAAUACCGCAUAACGUCGCAAGACCAAAGAGGGGGACCCUCGGGCCUCUUGCCAUCGGAUGUGCCCAGAUGGGAUUAGCUUGUUGGUGGGGUAACGGCUCACCAAGGCGACGAUCCCUAGCUGGUCUGAGAGGAUGACCAGCCACACUGGAACUGAGACACGGUCCUGACUCCUACGGGAGGCAGCAGUGGGGAAUAUUGCACAAUGGGCGCAAGCCUGAUGCAGCCAUGCCGCGUGUAUGAAGAAGGCCUUCGGGUUGUAAAGUACUUUCAGCGGGGAGGAAGGGAGUAAAGUUAAUACCUUUGCUCAUUGACGUUACCCGCAGAAGAAGCACCGGCUAACUCCGUG